CAUGAAGCUGGAUUCGCUGUAAUCGCGCAUCAGCCACGGCGCGGUGAAUACGUUCCCGGGCCUUGUACACACCGCCCGUCAAGCCAUGGAAGCCGGGAGUGCCUGAAGUGCGUGAGCGCAAGCAGCGCCCUAAGGUAAAACCGGUGACUGGGGCUAAGUCGUAACAAGGUAUC
rnacentral:rRNA from 1 species